rnacentral:lncRNA from 1 species
AAAAAGAGCAAAAUUCUAACCAUUUUUACUCGAGCUCAAUCCAACGGUACCUCCUUAGCAAAACCCUAACUCUAAUCCUCUUCUCUCCCAUUUUCCCUUUCAUAUCCAAAAUCCCGUGAAAUCGCCAAUCCAUUCAGGCACCACCAUGAACACCGCUGCUCUCCUCAUCUUCUCACGACCUCCAACGAAUUCCCUCAAUUUUGACAACCUCUCAACACCAAUUCAUCUUGCCAGCCUAAAAGUUAACAUUAUGAGGCCCAUUAACCCCUAACAUUCUAGGGCCCAUUAACCCCACCGGACCUUGAAAUCUACAAACCGACUUCAGGACCUAGGCAGACGACGGGGGAGACUAGGAUGACUAUGACAUGGAUGACGUGGAAGAAGUCGAUAAUAAAAAAGACUUCGACGUCUAUUAUUACUCUGCAACUGCCUCACUCCCAUUCCGCAGUCGCAGGUAACGGCGGAGAUGAUGAUAUUGCGAUUGUGGAUAGUAAGAGCUUCAUUUCGACUCAGGGAGGACUUAGAGAAAAUUGUAGAUUUUCUGAUUAAUGAGGAUGAGUUCCAAAAAUUUGUCCUAUUGAUUGCGAAUUUUUCCUAAGGAAACUGCCUGACCCAGAUAAUGAUGUGUAAGAUUUCCACAAGGUAACAUUUUACCUUUUUCAUACUUUUAAUCUUGUUCUUCACUUUGAUUAGGUUACCCUUUCCUUGCUAAGUUAAAUUUUGUUAAUUAUUGCUACGUCAAUUUUUCUAAUUUUGAUUAUUAGAAAAGUAUUCCUUUUAAAACUUAGAGCUUGUUUGACAAGUAUUUAUAAGGGAUUUAAAUUCUUAUAUAUAUAAGUAUACAUAUUGUUGACCCCGAAAAUGGUCAACUGGUGUCGUUUGACGACAAUGUACAUGUGGACGUGUUUAGCUGUAUAUCGACUGUAAAUGCAUGUAUUUGUAGAAGAAGGUAGAAAUAGUGAACUAUAUAUGAAUAAGUGUAUUAUGUUUUCUUUUUUGUUCAAAGAUUCAUCCCUUAAAAUGAUACGAGAUUGGCGUGAUCAAGCCGAAGUGGUUACCGUUAGAUCCGAUUCACAUGGCCCGAUCGAUUAGACCUUGGCAUCACAUCAACCUAUCUCACAUUAAUUACAUUGACAUACAUUUGACAAAGGGAUCAACCACUCUACAUUUCUAGGCUGACAUCCCUGACAUUUAUUUAAGGAGAGCGUAACAUCAAUCAAUUCCAAAGGUGUGCUUAUCAUACUCUCUUCUAGUCGUCAAGGACUUCGGGAGUUGUGGAGUUCGACGGAAAGAAGUAGACCCACCUCGGAUAUGUAAGGGCCAGGACCACUUUGGAUAACUCUAGUGAAACAACCUCAUUGUUGCAACAGCCUCGGCCGUUAACCUUUUUAUAACUCUUUUGACCCAAUGCCACGUGUAUGAAUAUGGGGAUUUCAUGUGGACCGUAAUGUAUGAUUAACAACACAUAUGUACAUACAUUGUCGUAUUUUCUGCUUUCUAGGUUGCUUCUAUGUUAAUCUGUUUACUUAUAUGUAUUUGUGUUAUAUAUUGGCAGUGUUCUAAAAAGCUUGAUGCUC